UACGUAGGGGGCAAGCGUUGUCCGGAUUUACUGGGCGUAAAGGGAGCGUAGGCGGACUUUUAAGUGAGAUGUGAAAUACCCAGGCUCAACUUGGGUGCUGCAUUUCAAACUGGAAGUCUAGAGUGCAGGAGAGGAGAAUGGAAUUCCUAGUGUAGCGGUGAAAUGCGUAGAGAUUAGGAAGAACACCAGUGGCGAAGGCGAUUCUCUGGACUGUAACUGACGCUGAGGCUCGAAAGCGUGGGGAGCAAACAGG
rnacentral:rRNA from 1 species